rnacentral:rRNA from 1 species
UUUGGAUAACUGUGGUAAUCCUAGAGCUAAUACAUGCAAACCAAGUCCCGACCAGUCUGACUGGGAAGGACGCUUUUAUUAGAUCAAGACCAAUCGCUCGGCUCGUCCGGGCGUAGCCUUGGUGACUCUAGGUAACACAUCAGAUCGCAUGGUCUUUGCACCGGCGACUUAUCCUUCAAAUGCCUGACUUAUCAACUGUCGAUGGUAGACUCUAUGUCUACCAUGGUUGUAACGGGUAACGGGGAAUCAGGGUUCGAUUCCGGAGAGGGAGCCUGAGAAACGGCUACCACAUCCAAGGAAGGCAGCAGGCACGCAAAUUACCCACUCCCGGCACGGGGAGGUAGUGACAAAAAAUAACGAUACGGGACUCUUAUGAGGCCCCGUAAUCGGAAUGAGUACACUUUAAAUCCUUUAACAAGGAUCCAUUGGAGGGCAAGUCUGGUGCCAGCAGCCGCGGUAAUUCCAGCUCCAAUAGCGUAUAUUAAAGUUGUUGCGGUUAAAAAGCUCGUAGUUGGUUCUGCGUGCUACGCUGUCGGUUCGCCGCCUGCCGGUGUAACUGGCAUGCCGUGGCAUGUCCUGUCGGUGGCGUGCGGGAGCCUUGUCUAGGUGACGGUCCUUGCCAAAAGCUUGGUUCCGUAGGCCGGAGGUCCAACCCGUGCGCCUUCUCUAUCCUACCUAGGUGCUCUUCACCGAGUGUCGAGGUAGGCCGACACGUUUACUUUGAACAAAUUAGAGUGCUCAAAGCAGGCUGAAAUCUCUGCCUGAAUAGUGGUGCAUGGAAUAAUAAAACAGGACCUUGGUUCUAUUUUGUUGGUUUUUAGGAACACAAGGUAAUGAUCAAUACGGACAGGCGGGGGCAUUCGUAUUGCGUCCUCCGAUGAGGCGGGGCCGGGAAACCAAAGCUUUUGGGAAAGGGGGAAGUAUGGUUGCAAAGCUGAAACUUAAAGGAAUUGACGGAAGGGCACCACCAGGAGUGGAGCCUGCGGCUUAAUUUGACUCAACACGGGAAACCUCACCAGGCCAGGACAUUGGAAGGAUUGACAGAUUGAUAGCUCUUUCUUGAUUCAGUGGGUAGUGGUGCAUGGCCGUUCUUAGUUGGUGGAUCGAUUUGUCUGGUUAAUUCCGAUAACGAACGAGACUCUAGCCUAUUAACUAGGCGUUUACCGGUGUCCUCGCCACCGGCGACACUCAUUCUUCUUAAGGGGACAGGCGGCUUAUAGCCGCACGAGAUUGAGCAAUAACAGGUCUGUAAUGCCCUUAGAUGUCCUGGGCCGCACGCGCGCUACACUGAAGGAAUCAGCGUGUGCCUCCCUGGCCGAAAGGCCCGGGUAAUCCGCUGAACCUCCUGCGUGCUAGGAAUUGGGGCUUGCAAUUGUUCCCCAUGAACGAGGAAUUCCCAGUAAGCGCGAGUCAUAAGCUCGCGUUGAUUACGUCCCUGCCCUUUGUACACACCGCCCGUCGCUACUACCGAUUGAAUGAUUUAGUGAGGUCUUCGGACUGGCGGUAAUCCCUAUCGACUUGUCGGUAUCGAUGAACGCUGGAAAGAUGACCAAACUUGAUCAUUUAGAGGAAGUAAAAGUCGUAACAAGGUUUCC